GCGCCGGCGGACCGGCCCCGGCCGCCCGGCCUGGAGGGCCGGCGGCGUAUAGCUCAACGACGUCAUGGUUCGGUGCCCCGCCCCCGCG
rnacentral:tRNA from 2 species